GUGCAGCAUUGAUAACUCGGAGGAGGUUGGUUUCGCCAGUGUCCACAUGGACUGUGGUGGUAUCUGCAUUAACAUGAUUUCUAUAGAUCACCUGGUUGACCAUUGAUGGUGUAUGCAUCAGAUACAUUUGGAGCUGCUCCUGUUCUUGUUGCUCGUCUUACAACGUCAAUAGGAAAUGAUCAAAGCUUUUGGUAUUGAAGAGAAGGUAGAAGUAGUACCAAGCAUAAUUGGUGUUUCUCUUUUGGGCUUAACAAAUGGAUAG